rnacentral:pre_miRNA from 1 species
CACAUACUCCCUCCGUCCCAAAAUUAUUGUCUUAAAUUUGUUUAGAUAUGAAUGUAUCUAGUCAAGUUUUAAUAUUUAGAUACAUCCAUUUCAAGAAAAAGCUAAGACAAGAAUUUUGAGACGGAGGGAGCACU